UACGUAGGGUGCAAGCGUUAAUCGGAAUUAUUGGGCGUAAAGGGCUCGUAGGCGGUUUGUCGCGUCGGGAGUGAAAACCAGGUGCUUAACACCUGGCUUGCUUUCGAUACGGGCAGACUAGAGGUAUUCAGGGGAGAACGGAAUUCCUGGUGUAGCGGUGAAAUGCGCAGAUAUCAGGAGGAACACCGGUGGCGAAGGCGGUUCUCUGGGAAUGACCUGACGCUGAGGAGCGAAAGUGUGGGGAGCGAACAGG
rnacentral:rRNA from 1 species